rnacentral:piRNA from 1 species
UAGCAUCUGUGCAUCUUAGAGCUGAGC